GACGUACGCUGGCGGCGUGCUUAACACAUGCAAGUCGAACGGAAAGGCCCUGCUUUUGUGGGGUGCUCGAGUGGCGAACGGGUGAGUAACACGUGAGUAACCUGCCCUUGACUUUUGGAUAACUUCAGGAAACUGGGGCUAAUACCGGAUAGGAGCUCCUGCUGCAUGGUGGGGGUUGGAAAGUUUCGGCGGUUGGGGAUGGACUCGCGGCUUAUCAGCUUGUUGGUGGGGUAGUGGCUUACCAAGGCUUUGACGGGUAGCCGGCCUGAGAGGGUGACCGGCCACAUUGGGACUGAGAUACGGCCCAGACUCCUACGGGAGGCAGCAGUGGGGAAUAUUGCACAAUGGGCGGAAGCCUGAUGCAGCAACGCCGCGUGCGGGAUGACGGCCUUCGGGUUGUAAACCGCUUUCGCCUGUGACGAAGCGUGAGUGACGGUAAUGGGUAAAGAAGCACCGGCUAACUACGUG
rnacentral:rRNA from 1 species